AUGCCCCCACUCUCCUUGCAACCAAGGAGCCCACACCCCUUCCCCCAGUGUCUCUUCCAUCAGUCCAAGGCUGAGGCAACCCAGUUGCUUCCGAAGCAAGAUGACCAAGUUUGGAAGAGACGGCUGAAGCAUCUGUCCCUGGCAGAAGCUCUGUCUUGCGCUCAGACACUCUACCCAGACUUUGUUCCUGGCGGCACCAGAGAACUUCCCCAGCCCGGGGAGGAAUCUCUGAGGAUCACAGGUGUCAACAGGAUGGAAAUAAAACCAGAGACCAUGCUGAGAUUCUUCCGUGGAGAUCCAAAAAGGAGCAUUCUGCUUCCCAGCACUUCUUGCCAAGGAUGA
rnacentral:lncRNA from 1 species